rnacentral:rRNA from 1 species
GACGAACGCUGGCGGCGUGCUUAACACAUGCAAGUCGAACGGUGAAGCGCCUUCCUUUUUGGUGGGUGUGGAUGAGUGGCGAACGGGUGAGUAACACGUGAGUAACCUGCUCCCUUCUUCUGGAUAACCGCAUGCAAGUGUGGCUAAUACGGGAUAUUCUGGGUCUGUCGCAUGAUGGGUCUGGGAAAGAUAUUGUUUCGGUGGGGGAUGGGCUCGCGGCCUAUCAGCUUGUUGGUGGGGUGAUGGCCUACCAAGGCGGUGACGGGUAGCCGGCCUGAGAGGGUGGACGAUCACACUGGGACUGAGACACGGCCAAGACUCCUACGGGAGGCAGCAGUGAGGAAUAUUGCACAGUGGGCGCAAGCCUGAUGCAGCGACGCCGCGUGAGGGAUGGAGGCCUUCUGGUUGUGAACCUCUUUCGCCAGUGAAGCAGGCCUGCCUCGUUUGUGGGUGGGUUGACGGUAGCUGGAUAAGAAGCGCCGGCUAACUACGUG